rnacentral:rRNA from 1 species
GGCGAACGCUGGCGGCGUGCUUAACACAUGCAAGUCGAACGGGCUCUGUCUGGCUGUGUGCUGGGUGGGGUUAGUGGCGAACGGGUGAGUAAUACGUGAGUAACCUGCCCUCUUCUUUGGGAUAAGCCUUGGAAACGGGGUCUAAUACUGGAUAUUCCUGUCUGGUCGCAUGGCUGGGUGGGGAAAGUUUUUUUCGGUGGGGGAUGGGCUCGCGGCCUAUCAGCUUGUUGGUGGGGUGAUGGCCUACCAAGGCGUCGACGGGUAGCCGGCCUGAGAGGGUGACCGGCCACACUGGGACUGAGAUACGGCCCAGACUCCUACGGGAGGCAGCAGUGGGGGAUAUUGCACAAUGGGCGCAAGCCUGAUGCAGCGACGCCGCGUGGGGGAUGACGGCUUUCGGGUUGUAAACCUCUUUCGUCGGGGGACAAGGCUCUGCUUGGUGGUGGGGUUGAGGGUACCCGGUGAAGAAGCGCCGGCUAACUACGUG